UUGGAUCUGGAUUCAGAUGGUUUUAUGUCUUUUUCACAAACUCCUGAUUGAAAACGCAAGCUCUAGAGGACGACAGAAACCUCUAAUGACUGAGCUUUCAAUAGAUGACGACAAUCUUCAGAUAGUUCGAAACGAAGUGGACCGAUGGAGCCGGGAGUUUGCUCUCUCAAACUGAGGAGAAGUGAGCGCCUAGCAACAGCAGCAUGGCCGCCUUCCUAUUACAGCCCAGCGAGUUAAUGGCAGCUCCCUGAGUUUGCCCUCUGGACAGCAGACCUUUGGGAAUGUGAAAAAAGCUGGAUGCUAAGACUGAGAGUUUCACAUCCCUCAGUCCUCUGCUCAUCUGAGUGGUCCGCUCAUCGCCUGAGGCUGUCCGUCUGAUAAAGGCCUGAAUGGAUUGCUGAUUGGCGUCAUUGCACCGUGAGCUGAACCCCACUGAAGUCCAGCCCUUCUGAUGAACCAUUGAUCAAACGAGAGGAUGUGAGGAAGAGGGGAUGAGAAAGAGGAAGGGCGUCCACCAGGAGGAGGGAGAGCUUUAUACAUCAAAGAUCAGGUCUGGAUUCCAGCUUUCGCUCAAUCGACCCUAUUGAGACUCAUAGCCAAUAACAGGAAGUUAAGACUGAG